rnacentral:rRNA from 1 species
UACGAACCGUGCGAACGUUGUUCGGAAUCACUGGGCUUAAAGGGCGCGUAGGCGGCUUGGAAAGUCCGGGGUGAAAGCCCCCAGCUCAACUGGGGAAGUGCCUCGGAAACUGCCAGGCUGGAGGGUGGUAGGGGUCGAGGGAACUUCUGGUGGAGCGGUGAAAUACGUAGAUAUGCGGAGGAACACCGAUGGCGAAGGCAAUCCCCUGGGCCUGCACUGACGCUCAUGCACGAAAGCGUGGGGAGCAAACAGG